UACGAAGGGGCUAGCGUUGCUCGGAAUUACUGGGCGUAAAGGGCGCGUAGGCGGACAGUUUAGUCAGAGGUGAAAGCCCAGGGCUCAACCUUGGAAUUGCCUUUGAUACUGGCUGUCUUGAGUUCGGGAGAGGUGAGUGGAAUGCCGAGUGUAGAGGUGAAUUCGUAGAUAUUCGGCGGAACACCAGUGGCGAAGGCGACUCACUGGCCCGAUACUGACGCUGAGGCACGAAGCGUG
rnacentral:rRNA from 1 species